GGAGCAAAUUAUAUUAAUUGAAAAGGUGAAAGUAGAUUGAGAAAAAUGUGAAGAAGAUGAAUUGUUGUGUAGAGGUCAUAUUCUCAAUAACUUGUGAGAUAGGUUAUAUGAUAUGUUUACCUUUUUCAAGUCUCUAACGGAAAUUUAGAAUUCGCUAAAGUUCAAAUAUCACAUAGAAAAACAAGGUAGUGGAUAAAAUUCUCUUCAUUUAAUAUUUUGAAUUCCAAAUACUUAAUAAUAUGCCUAUUACGGAUCAAAUCUAUGAGUUACAUAUCUUUGUUUCAA
rnacentral:misc_RNA from 1 species